rnacentral:rRNA from 1 species
AGUAACACGUAUGCAACCUGCCUGCCACAGCCGGAUAAUCGGGAGAAAUUCCGUCUAAUACGGCAUAAUGCAUCGACGGGACAUCCUGUUGGUGCCAAAGGUUGAUUCCGGUGGCGGAUGGGCAUGCGUCGCAUUAGUUAGUUGGCGGUGUAACGGACCACCAAGACGACGAUCAGUAGCCGGCCUGAGAGGGUGGACGGCCACAUUGGGACUGAGACACGGCCAAACUCCUACGGGAGGCAGCAG